rnacentral:lncRNA from 10 species
AACCCCCUGGGACAGCAACAGAAAAGCCAGUGACCUUGACAUGAGCAGUUUGGGUGGAGCAGGGGGAAAGACAGAUUGAAGAAGAUUGAGGAGGGACCGGAGGAUGAAGAAAAGUUUGGAACUGAGAAAGAGAAAUAGCUGGAGGGCUUGAGGGGCAUUUCCUGAGAUGGAGACACCAGAGCUUGUUUACUCGCUUGGGCAAACACUCUUAAACAUUUCUACAUUUAACUCAAAAUCUCCCUGGAAUUAGGAAAUGUUUACAUACAAAGAAAUUAUUGUCAUCCCCAACAACGUUGGUAUAACUUUUCUAGGAGGUUUCUGAGUUUACCUUCUCAGCUGCUGGGAUUUUUCAAUUAAAAACAAAAAUCAGAAAGGUCCUCGACCCAGACACUGGCUGGGGUCUUGCCUACAACCCCUGGCAGGCUAAGUGUGAGCUCCUCCGAGGCUUGGCUGUCCUCUCGCAGCAGGUGCUCCCUGCCACCCCCUGGAUCCUGAUGACCCAGUUGCUGUU